UGAUGGAAAAGUCUACCACAUAGUCAUAGUCUAUAGUCAUAGAUGUCACUGAAAGAAUCUCAAAGGACACCAAACACUUGUGUUUAGACAGCUGAGUUGAUGCUGGAACCUCUACACACCAGAGUCAAAAACACUACUUGAAUUUUGUGCUUACUGUAUGUUUCAGAGCUUCUCCAUUGCAAUGUGUCAGAGAAGGGCACUUGGGGACACCUUCACUGGCUUUGCAUGGCCAAAUCCAACUUCACAAUAGAAUGGAGUUUUGCAGUUACCAUAAAAUGCUGGGCUAAGGAAGCAAAAUGACCAGCCUUCAGGAAUGACAGGCCCCUAGGAGCACUGAGAAGUGGCACAAGGAACACAGACCCUGGGGUGGAUAAGGAUUAAGUCAGGGAACAUUUAAACAUAUUGGAUAUAUAUAAACUCUCAGGGCUUGAUGGUUUGCACCUGUCAAGUGCUGAGGGAGCUGGCAAACACCCGUGCAAGAUGACUCUCAAUUAUCUUUGAAAGCUCAUGGCAAUUUGGGAAGAUUCCUGAUGACUGGAACAGAGCAAAUCUGGACAACUACGGGUCAAUUGGCCUUGCCUUGAUCCCUGUGAAGGUGAUGGAGAAACUAAUCUGUGAAAGCAUUUCCCAUAUUUAGGAUAGGAAUGCCACUGUACUGGAAUCCAUGGUCAAAAAUGGAUUUGCACCAGGGAAAUCAAGCCUGACUUGACAUUCCUGACCUGACAGCCUCCUAUGAAGAAAUGACUGGCUUUCAAUUCUGUGUGCAGUAACAGUCUUAGAAAACCAAUAAAGUACAGGCUAGGUAAGUGGUUGGUGAAGUGGAUCAAAACUGGCUGAUAGGCUGAGCUCAAAGGAUUGUGAUCAGCAGGACAAAGCCCAUUGGGAAGCCAGACAUUGGUGGUCUGCUUCCGGGGUUCAUACUGGGGCCAGUACACUUCUGUCAUUAAUGAACUGGGCUGAUGGAACAGUGGGCACUUUAACCGAGUGUGUUGAUAAUCUCAAACUGGGAAGAGUGGCUGAUACACAGGAUGGUUAUGCUGCAAUUCAGAGGAGCCUGGACAUGCUGGAGUGUGUCCAUUGAGGACCAUGAAGGUCAUUAAGUAGUACCAUCUUCAGGAGUAUCUCUUAUUCAAGAAGAGGCUAAGAGAGAUGGGCCUAUUCAGCUCAUAGAAGAAAAGUCUUUGAAGGCAUCUCAUCAAUGUGUAUAAAUACCUGAUGGUAGGGAGUAAAGAAUUUGGAAACAGAUUCCUUUCAGCAGUGUCUA